rnacentral:rRNA from 1 species
GGCAAUCUGCCCUUCACUCUGGGACAAGCCCUGGAAACGGGGUCUAAUACCGGAUAACACUUCUUCGGGCAUCUGAAGAGGUUAAAAGCUCCGGCGGUGAAGGAUGAGCCCGCGGCCUAUCAGCUUGUUGGUGGGGUAAUGGCCUACCAAGGCGACGACGGGUAGCCGGCCUGAGAGGGCGACCGGCCACACUGGGACUGAGACACGGCCCAGACUCCUACGGGAGGCAGCAGUGGGGAAUAUUGCACAAUGGGCGAAAGCCUGAUGCAGCGACGCCGCGUGAGGGAUGACGGCCUUCGGGUUGUAAACCUCUUUCAGCAGGGAAGAAGCGAAAGUGACGGUACCUGCAGAAGAAGCGCCGGCUAACUACGUGCCAGCAGCCGCGGUAAUACGUAGGGCGCAAGCGUUGUCCGGAAUUAUUGGGCGUAAAGAGCUCGUAGGCGGCUUGUCGCGUCGGAUGUGAAAGCCCGGGGCUUAACCCCGGGUCUGCAUUCGAUACGG